rnacentral:guide_RNA from 1 species
AUAUAUAAUGAUAAACACAUAAAAUUGGAUGAACGGAAUAAUCAAUAUGUGAUGA